UGCAAGUCGAGCGGAAACGAUGGAGCUUGCUCCAGGCGUCGAGCGGCGGACGGGUGAGUAAUGCAUAGGAAUCUGCCCGGUAGUGGGGGAUAACCUGGGGAAACCCAGGCUAAUACCGCAUACGUCCUACGGGAGAAAGCAGGGGAUCUUCGGACCUUGCGCUAUCGGAUGAGCCUAUGUCGGAUUAGCUUGUUGGUGAGGUAAUGGCUCACCAAGGCGACGAUCCGUAGCUGGUCUGAGAGGAUGAUCAGCCACAUCGGGACUGAGACACGGCCCGAACUCCUACGGGAGGCAGCAGUGGGGAAUAUUGGACAAUGGGCGAAAGCCUGAUCCAGCCAUGCCGCGUGUGUGAAGAAGGCUUUCGGGUUGUAAAGCACUUUCAGUGAGGAAGAAGGCCUUGGGGCUAAUACCCCCGAGGAAGGACAUCACUCACAGAAGAAGCACCGGCUAACUCCGUGCCAGCAGCCGCGGUAAUACGGAGGGUGCGAGCGUUAAUCGGAAUUACUGGGCGUAAAGCGCGCGUAGGCGGCGUGAUAAGCCGGUUGUGAAAGCCCCGGGCUCAACCUGGGAACGGCAUCCGGAACUGUCAGGCUAGAGUGCAGGAGAGGAAGGUAGAAUUCCCGGUGUAGCGGUGAAAUGCGUAGAGAUCGGGAGGAAUACCAGUGGCGAAGGCGGCCUUCUGGACUGACACUGACGCUGAGGUGCGAAAGCGUGGGUAGCAAACAGGAUUAGAUACCCUGGUAGUCCACGCCGUAAACGAUGUCGACUAGCCNUUGGGGUCCUAGAGACCUUUGUGGCGCAGUUAACGCGAUAAGUCGACCGCCUGGGGAGUACGGCCGCAAGGUUAAAACUCAAAUGAAUUGACGGGGGCCCGCACAAGCGGUGGAGCAUGUGGUUUAAUUCGAUGCAACGCGAAGAACCUUACCUACCCUUGACAUCGUGCGAACUUUCCAGAGAUGGAUUGGUGCCUUCGGGAACGCACAGACAGUGCUGCAUGGCUGUCGUCAGCUCGUGUUGUGAAAUGUUGGGUUAAGUCCCGUAACGAGCGCAACCUUGUCCUAUUUGCCAGCGAUUCGGUCGGGA
rnacentral:rRNA from 1 species